ACUCUUGCUUGCUCCUUAGUUCAUCAAACUGAGGUUGCCAAUAGAGGACAUGUUUUGCAGUAGCAGUGUUGUACCUGCGGGAAUAUAUGAAAUGUACGCACUUGAUCCUAAAUGAAUGGCCAACUUUUUGGGUCAUCCCAUGACAUUGCUGGCAUAAAGCAUGUAAGAUAUUAUGUGUUAAAAAUGUUGAAUAAGUCAUCCACUUAUUCACUAUAGCAUACAAUAUUUUAUUAACCCAAUUCUAAAAAAUUAAUUGUAAAUUAUGAACCCAACAAGUCAAUUCCAUCUAUCUAAUAAUUAGAAAGUGUAUAUUAUGGAUGAAACAUGUCACUUCCCCAACUCUCCUAUUGUGUAAUUGAAGAACAUAACAUGUUCCCUAAUUUAAAAACAUGACAUUCUCCUGCCCCCGUUUUAGCUUAGUGGUAGAGCGCCACGCGUGAUGUGUGGGUUNNNNNNNNNNNNNNNNNNNNNNNNNNNNNNNNNNNNNNNNNNNNNNNNNNNNNNNNNNNNNNNNNNNNNNNNNNNNNNNNNNNNNNNNNNNNNNNNNNNNNNNNNNNNNNNNNNNNNNNNNNNNNNNNNNNNNNNNNNNNNNNNNNNNNNNNNNNNNNNNNNNNNNNNNNNNNNNNNNNNNNNNNNNNNNNNNNNNNNNNNNNNNNNNNNNNNNNNNNNNNNNNNNNNNNNNNNNNNNNNNNNNNNNNNNNNNNNNNNNNNNNNNNNNNNNNNNNNNNNNNNNNNNNNNNNNNNNNNNNNNNNNNNNNNNNNNNNNNNNNNNNAAAACUUUCAUAAAAGAAUAUGAAAUUUAAUUCUAAACAAAAACGUAUAAAAUAUUUAUAUGAUUUGAGAUCAAGUUUGUGCACAAAUUAGAUCAACUUGAUUUUUUGAAAUGAUUCGAAUCAAUUUAGAUAAUAUUAUUUAGAUGAUUAAAAAUUUAACUUGAUUUACAAAUUCAAUUCUAGAAUACUAUGGUACAGCUAUUUAUAUAUACUUGAAUGUGUUUACAAUCCGAACAAACUUGAAAAAUUGAAAUAUAUAUUACGUGAUGAUAAUAAUAUUUUCAUUAUCAAUUAUACAUCCUAUGUCUUAGUUCAAUUAAUAUAUUUUUUUUAAUUAGUUUUAAAAAGGAAUUGACAUUUUUUAUUUGGUUAGUAUUCUAUAACAUUAUUAAUAUUUUAAUCAUGUUAAAUUUCAUUUAUUUGUCAAAGAGUCCACAAAGGUAUACUCUUCUAUUUAAGGUUUAUUUAUUUUAAAGAUAAUUUGAAACAUUGCGAAGUUUUUUUCAUAUAUCAUAAAUUCGAUGUCGAAUCAAAAUGUUAUAAAUUGAAAUAAAGGAAGACGUAGUUUAUAGGAGGAUAUGCUAAUACUCAAAUAUGUUCCAUAAAAGAUAAAAAUGUGAAAUUAAUUUUAGCCACACAUUUAAUUGCAUAAAGUAACUAUACUAUAUUAUAGUAAGAUAAUAAAAGAAAUACUCAUAAUUAUUGAAUAGGUGUUUAUCUAUCAAACAUAAUAAGCAAUUCCUCCAUAAUUUCAAAACAUCAAAUGAUACAUAUCAUUACAAAGAUUUGCACUACAUAUAAUUUAUAAAAACAUAAUUAUUUACUCAGCACCUAUUAACUAUCUCAUGUUAAAUUACUACAAUAUAUAUCAUGAUAACUUUUAUUAAUUCCUUUGAUUCUCUUUAUUUGAGGUAGUAAUUUCCUCAUCAGGUAGACAAAUCACUUAAAAAGUAAUUUCUUACUUACUCUAUUAGAUUGGUCUCUUAUUUUUAACGUAUAUAAGACAUGACAUAAAGGCAACCUUUAACACUAUGAUUCAUUAAAAUGUUCAUCCGGUAGAUUCUUAUUUUUGUUUAUUAAACACCCAAAAAACGAAUCUAAAUAUAGUAAAAAUCAAUGUAUGUAUGAAUUAAUAUCCUUUAUUGUUUUGUAUCAUUCUUUAUAAAAUGUUAAUAAAUAGAUAUUUAUAAUCUUAAUCUAUUCUCUUGUAUAAUUUUUAAAUAAAGUAAAACAGAAAAACAUUAGAAUUAGUUGUUUAAUCUAAAAAAAAUGUUUGUUGAGCUGAUGUUAAAAUAAGAAUUAGAAUAUAUGAUAUUUUAAUGUUAAUUAUGAAACCUUAAAUAAGUUAUAAGAUAUUAUUAAAUUUUGUAAAAAUAAGAGUUAUAUUUUAUUAUAUAUUGUGAUUUCUGCUUUCAUUUUCUAUUGUGGUUCAUUCAAAAAUAUUAAUGAUCAUUUUUUUGGAAAACUAAUUAAAUAGCUAUAAGUAUAUCUAAAAUUGUAAUAUUAGGCCCGUAAAUGGGCCUUUCAUUAUCUAGUAUAUAUAUAUGUAUGGUUGUAUGCAUUGUGCAUGUUUUUACUGGAUUUUAUAAAUGACAUUAUUCUAUCCUUAUCCUGAGUGCAUGCUAGCGUUCACCCGCUAACCUGUCUACUGGCGAUUAUAUGCCUACGCUAUGCAAGAAUCGAUCAUUCUACUCCUCUUGCUUGGUGAUCGAAUUCUGGUGCAGUCGAGGUUGAAUUGAAGUGGUGAGUUUUCAUAGUUCGGAAGACAUCUAUUUCAUGUCAUGGUUUAUUUUACAUAUUUCUUGUCUUGCAUACACUGUGGUUUUAUAUUAUGGUCAGGGGCAUGUCCCGACUAGGUACUCUUUGGUUAGUCUAGAAGCUUUGUAUGGACAACUGUGGACUUGGGUAUGAUAUGUGGACUGUUUUGUUAUAUAAUUUCAUAUAUUUGCUUAUUAUUAUGGUAGUGGUUUAUGGUUUCCGCAUUGGUUUGGUUGGUCAUUAGGUGGUUGGACUUUAUUCGGUUGGUCUUGGAUAUAGACUUAUCCCAAAGUCACCACAUGGUUGGAUACUCUAUCUCGUUAUAUGUUCGGACUUCAGCCGACUCAAGGUAUGCGUUUGGUUGUCGGGUUGGGUAAUGGGGGCAGUUAUCGGUCCAGGUUGAGCUUGGGAUUACCCAUUACGACAAAGUUCUGGUUCAGGUCGUAUCAAAUAAGCAAUACUUGUGCUGCUUGAGGUAUCUGUAUCAUCAACAUGCAUGUAGCAUCGACAUGUUUGCUUGGUAUUUUAUGAGGAAAUGAUAUAGAUGUACAACAUUUCAAAACUAGUCAUGACAAAGGAAAGUUCGCUAUUUUAAUCUUCAAACUCAAAAUAAAAAUCCGAAAUAAUUGAAUCGAAUUUAUAGAAAUCGAAUCAAAUUAAAUUUAUUUUAAUUUGGUUACAAUUAUCAUUUUUAUCAAUCCAAAAAUCAAAUCGAUAUUAAAUAACCAAAUCGAAUACACCAAAUGUCCACCCUUAAUCAUAAGUUAGAGCUUUUAACUAAAAAUGCUAACAAUAAAAGCAGAAGCUAUAAGAUAGAAUUUGUGGCUAAGCCACAAGUCAAUCCAAAGAAGCACUUUCUCCGGUCUCCAUUGAGCUCCAAAAUAGCUGCGAGCAAAUCGUAGUCCUUUGACAAUGUAUCGAUCGGCAGCCAAGCGGUUACUUCCGGCGUUUUACCGCCGGCACCAGAAUGCCAUAUCACAUGUUCGAAUCCUAGCAGCAAACCGUCACACUCGAUUUAUGACUUCAUCUGCCACCGGAAAUAUUCGUGAUCACAACCCUAUUCCUCCGCCUAUCUCGAAUCCGGCCGACUGUACGGCAUCAUCAUCUUGGAAGGAAGAAGAAAGGACACACUAUACGGAAACUGAUGAAAAAUUUAGCUCGAGAACAAAGCUGUCUAAAGCGCAUUACAAGGACGAAGAGGCUCGUGUACUCAGUGCCUCUCUUCCUCAUGUGGUUCGUUACAUGUUACUUUUUUUUUCCCACAUUUUUUUUGUUCCUGUGCAGGUAUGAAUUUUGGGAUUAUAUGUGUAUAUUUAUGUGAUUAAUGUGUUGUUGUCUUGUGUGUUUUUGAUUUAAUUUGUUUUUGGGGAUAAUGUUGUUGGCUUGGUGAAAUUGGCUGCGUAAAUUGAUUACUUGACCUUAGAAUUUGUUAAACAUGCUAGUGUAUUUUAUCCCCUAAGAAAUGGGGUUUGGACCGUUAUGCCUUGUGAUUCUGCUGCCAAAUCUAUUUGGCGUAGAAUUAAUUUCUGCCCAGUACAUUCAGUAACCCAAUUGAGGAUCUAUCAGAAACAACCUCUCUACCUCUGAGGUAGAGGUGAGGUCUGCGCGCACUCUACCUUCCUCAGACCCGACUUAGCGGCACGACACUGGAUAUUAUGUUGUUGUAGAUUCAGUAAUCUAAUUGGAAAAGACAAAAAGGUUAAAAAAAGAAAAAAAUACCUCGUUUAAGACGUUAAUAGAGCUUUCCUUGAUGAAAGGAAUAUCAUGCCUUGUGAUAGAAGGUUCUCCUUAUAUACAUACACCCCAAAAAAGUUAUACAUGAUAUGCGUUUGGUAUGGAGAUAUUAAACUCCAACUGGCCCUUACCACGCUGGUGACUUUCCCUAAAAGUAACAAGAGGAGUAUUAGGGUGUUCACCGGUUAUGGAGCUAACCUUAUUAUUAGAGAAAGGAGAAAGGGAAGAUGCUUUCGUAAGGUAUUUUAUAGAAAAGAUGUUUUUACUCUAAGAAAUCUUUUUCUUGAUGGCUUUCCUCUGUUUGAUUGGGUUUAAAGGCCGGUGACUACAAAGUGUAUGUAAGUAUUAGAAUAUUGCUUUAGUGGUAUUUUGAGUUUUAAAGGUUGACAACAGAGGCUACGUGUUGAUUGAAGCAAGUGCGGUGGAGUAAAGAAGAGUACUUGUAAAGGGAAUCGACUUCUCGAUAAGUGAAGGAAGUUCUUUCUCCUUUUUAGUGGAAGUAUUUUCAUUGGAGAUUACAAUUUUUCGCAGUUUUAGGGCAACCAAACACUGAAAUAUUUCAUCAAGGAAAAUUCUUUUCAAAAAACGUAUUCUGACAUACAAACAUAUCCUGUAUCCCUUUGUAUAUAUCAGGCCUGAAAUUGGUGCUGGGUAACUUGUUUGCAGAUUCGGCUUGGAUGGACUGAAACAGCCAUGAUUGCAAGUGCAAGGGAUGUUGGAGUGUCGCCUUCCAUUGUUGGAUCAUUUCCUCGGAAAGAAGCUGCUCUAGUGGAGGUAAAUGAUGGUUCACCUACAUCUUACUCAUAGUUCUUGAUUCUUUAGUGUGAGUGCAAUUUGUGGGCAUUAUAGAGCUCCAACAUCUUUGGCUUUGCUAAAAUUGUUGGUAUUAGAUUGUCUGCCUCUCAGUAAUCUUCUAUUGGUUUUCCUCUUAUUCUAUCUGCACUUAUUUUAUCUGGUAUAAAUGUAACUUAAAGAAACUCCAUUGAGGUAAAUUAUGCAAAGUCAAAAAAAGUAACAGUCAUGUUUCUUUAUAAGAGGAUUAUUAAUGAUUUUUUGGUACAGUAAAAGGAUUAUUAAUGAUAUAUUCUUUUUAGCUUAUAAGUAUAUAGUUUAUAUAGCCAUUAUGUGCUCUCUAUGAUGAUCAACCAAACAAUGAGCUAAAUCCUAAGAUAUUGCUGAUUUGUGUAGUGUUGGCGAGAAGGCCUAAGAAGCUUAAAUGUUUCUGUCUCCGACAUUGUUUUUAAUGCAUAUUACCAUCGACAAGGUGCUUAAUGGUCAUUCAGCUGUCAAGCUUUGUCUUUUCUUGAAUCAUUUACAACACUGCUUUCGGUCUUAUGCUGGACUUUUACCUGUGUUAACAUUUAACAAUAGUUCUCACGUCAUCCCAAAAAAGCAUCUAAGUAGUUUAUUUGAUCUAGUUAAUGCUUGUAUUUUCUCCUUUUCCGUGAAUCAAUAAGUUAAUCCUCAAUCAAUUUUUUUACAUCAAACUUUUGCAGUAUUUUAUGGAUGAGUGUUUGGAAGGACUCAUCGAUAUCAUUGAAUCAAGGAAGGAUCUGAAAAACUUGAUACCUAGUGAGCGAGUGGCAAAGCUUGUCAGAAUUCGCUUGGAAAUGCAGACCCCUUACAUAUCAAAAUGGGCCCAAGCUCUCAGUAUACAGGUACUUAUCUCCUUGAAGUUAACAUUUUUUCAGGUCCCUUUCUUGUGUUGGUCUGUGUACGGUGAGUAGAAGUAUUUCAGAUAACAAGUACUGAUUGUAGGCUCAACCCUUGAAUGUCCCAACAAGCUUCAAGCAGCGUGCAAUGCUGGUUGAUGAGAUAUGGCAUGCUGUUGAUGAUGAUGCCAACGAAAUUGAUUGGUAUGUGAAGCGUACUGUUCUAGGUGGAAUAUACUCCACAGCAGAAUUAUACAUGUUGACAGAUAGCUCUCCAGGUGUGUUAUUUUUGACUGUUGUGUAUUUGUCCCAUGCUCGUUCUUCUCUUGAGGUCCUUCUAAUACAUGGUGUGUCUUAUUAAAAUUUUACAUUCAAUUAAAAACACAACUCUUUUACAAUCCUAACAUGCCCCACUGUCAACAGUUCUUCCCGCUUCCUACUGUGUUAUUGGCAUGUAAGUCAUAGAAUUGGAAGGAAGCCUCUUGGGUUAUUAGAAACUAUUCAUAUUCCUUGUUUCGCCAAAUCAGUUUUUAUAAAUUACAGAAGAAAGCAUUUUUGAUGUAGGAGGCAUGAGAGCAGAAGUAUUUCUCAGGAUAAUAGUUCCGCAAAAGAUUCACUCUUGCUUGCUCCUUAGUUCAUCAAACUGAGGUUGCCAAUAGAGGACAUGUUUUGCAGUAGCAGUGUUGUACCUGCGGGAAUAUAUGAAAUGUACGCACUUGAUCCUAAAUGAAUGGCCAACUUUUUGGGUCAUCCCAUGACAUUGCUGGCAUAAAGCAUGUAAGAUAUUAUGUGUUAAAAAUGUUGAAUAAGUCAUCCACUUAUUCACUAUAGCAUACAA
rnacentral:lncRNA from 1 species